GGGAGCUUGCUCCCGGAUGUUAGCGGCGGACGGGUGAGUAACACGUGGGUAACCUGCCUGUAAGACUGGGAUAACUCCGGGAAACCGGAGCUAAUACCGGAUAGUUCCUUGAACCGCAUGGUUCAAGGAUGAAAGACGGUUUCGGCUGUCACUUACAGAUGGACCCGCGGCGCAUUAGCUAGUUGGUGAGGUAACGGCUCACCAAGGCGACGAUGCGUAGCCGACCUGAGAGGGUGAUCGGCCACACUGGGACUGAGACACGGCCCAGACUCCUACGGGAGGCAGCAGUAGGGAAUCUUCCGCAAUGGACGAAAGUCUGACGGAGCAACGCCGCGUGAGUGAUGAAGGUUUUCGGAUCGUAAAGCUCUGUUGUUAGGGAAGAACAAGUGCAAGAGUAACUGCUUGCACCUUGACGGUACCUAACCAGAAAGCCACGGCUAACUACGUGCCAGCAGCCGCGGUAAUACGUAGGUGGCAAGCGUUGUCCGGAAUUAUUGGGCGUAAAGGGCUCGCAGGCGGUUUCUUAAGUCUGAUGUGAAAGCCCCCGGCUCAACCGGGGAGGGUCAUUGGAAACUGGGAAACUUGAGUGCAGAAGAGGAGAGUGGAAUUCCACGUGUAGCGGUGAAAUGCGUAGAGAUGUGGAGGAACACCAGUGGCGAAGGCGACUCUCUGGUCUGUAACUGACGCUGAGGAGCGAAAGCGUGGGGAGCGAACAGGAUUAGAUACCCUGGUAGUCCACGCCGUAAACGAUGAGUGCUAAGUGUUAGGGGGUUUCCGCCCCUUAGUGCUGCAGCUAACGCAUUAAGCACUCCGCCUGGGGAGUAC
rnacentral:rRNA from 1 species